rnacentral:tRNA from 1 species
GAGUCACGUAGCGUAGUGGUAGCGCUUCCGCCUCGUAAGCGGUAAACCGGCAUUCAAAUCCCGACUCG